rnacentral:rRNA from 1 species
GUUUCGGUGGUGUUAGCGGAGGGGAAACGCCCGGUCCCAUUCCGAACCCGGAAGCUAAGCCCUCCAGCGCCGAUGGUACUGCACUCGUGAGGGUGUGGGAGAGUAGGACGCCGCCGGACA